rnacentral:rRNA from 1 species
UACGGGGGGAGCAAGCGUUGUUCGGAUUUACUGGGCGUAAAGGGCGCGUAGGCGGUCAGCGCAAGUCAGUUGUGAAAUCUCCGGGCUUAACUCGGAAAGGUCAACUGAUACUGUGCGACUAGAGUGCAGAAGGGGCAACUGGAAUUCUCGGUGUAGCGGUGAAAUGCGUAGAUAUCGAGAGGAACACCUGCGGCGAAGGCGGUUCUCUGGGCAUUACCUGACGCUGAGGAGCGAAAGUGUGGGGAGCGAACAGG